CUGUCCGAAGUCUUUCUCUUUGCUCUGGAGGUCACAUAGAGCCUGGACCAUCCAAGAUCUGCUGCUACGGAGUCCCCAACUUUACCUGUCCAGCUCUUUCCAGUUGAGUGGUGUCCUCUGCACAGUCACAGGUAGGGGUAUAUCCUUGCCAGGGAGCGGGCCAGCCCUCUGCAGGACACAGGGCUCCUUGAGUAGGCAGCAGAUGUCAUCCGCCAGCUCUGAGGAAGAGACCUCCAUCCCUGACAUGACUGACUCCACCCUACUUCUCCCCAACAGCCCUCACCCUGACAGCCCUCUGCAGUUGGCAGGAGGGGGCAUGGUUACCAAAGAGUGAUAGGACAUGAGCCCCAAGCUAUUGGUUUCAUGGAGACAGAUGUAGUCAAAGGUCUUUCUGGGCUAACUUUUGGGAGACAGUCACUGUAUGAUUUAGGGUGAGUUCAUGGACCUCUUGAGCUCAAGUUUCUGGUUAGGAAAUUGCUUUGGGAAGAAGAAAGCUAAGGAAUGCUCAGUCUACUUCUACUCACUGUCUACUUCCACACAGAGUGACCUGCAGAAAACCCCUAAUGAGUUUUCACAAGAGUGCUCUUCCCUCUCUGCCCCCUGACGCUGUGCCCAGUGACUGCAUCUUCCAGUGUCUGUUGAAGGACAGGCACCAGGAAGUACUAAGGAGAGUCAGGAUUGAAUCCCACACAGCAGCAGCUCUGUGCCCGGUUCCUGUGGAGAGAACUCUGCCUGCUGCCAGGGGCUCUGAGUCAGAACCAGAGUGGUAGGCAAGGUACUGACCUGAGCCUACACAGGAGGUCUGUGGCUUUUCUGCCAGGGCACGAGGUGAAGACAGGGCUCCCAGCCUGCAUUUCUUGGCAUAGGGACUGGCGUGAAAAUAGGGGAGGCCGCUCUUCUGUCUGUCUGAAUACUCCACAGUAGGUAAAAUAUCCAAGGGCACCACUGCCUGCUCCUCCCCACAGACUAUCCCAGCCUAGUCCUGGAGGCAGGGAAAGGCCAUACCAGAGUAAUGGUCCACCAGGGCCUGGAGUGAGGGGAAGGUGAGGCGCGGUGAGAUGUACAGCCAGCCAUUGUCAAGGCAGUGGAUCCUGUAGUGUCUGAUCCGGUCCCAGGAUGCAGGGCGGCUGAGGCGGACUGACAGAGAGUAAGAGCCUGAGGAGAAAGGGGUCCAGGGGUGGCACUGAGGCCCUGCUGGGACUCGGCCCCACCUAGGCUGGGAAACGAAGAUAGGCAACGUGACCAUGGGGCCCCGGCAGAAGGGAAGUGUCUGGGGCAGAAGCAGGACAAAGACUUGCUCUCUUGGUCAUCAAUAAUAUGUUCAUAAUAGAUGGGGGUCUUGUGAGGGUGAAAUCAAAUCACACACAGAGCCCUCAGUACAGGGUCUGGCACUGUGUGAGUGAACAUUCAGCGUUGGCUGUUCUUACAAAGACUCAGGUGGCAGAUAUGUUAGGAUGCAAAAACACUGUCAAGAAGAUGCUGGCAAGGAAGUGGAGAAGUAGGACCUCCCACCCUGCUGGUGGAAGAGAAAUUAGUACGAGCCACCUUGGAAACAGUUUGGCAUUAACUAGAUGAGCUGAACAUGCACGUACCUUACAACCCAGCAGUUCUUCCCAGGCACAAUACCUCAGAAGCACACAAGCAAUAUGCACAGCGGCAUUGUUUGUAAAAGUCAAAAACGGCAAACAGCCCGUUUGUGCUCAAGAGUAGAAUAAAUUGUGGAUUAUAGAGUGUAGUGCUAUACAGCAGUAAAAAUUAAUAACUGCUACAUAUAAGCAUAAGGAAAUCUUGGAAAUUAAGCAGAAAAACAUUACAGAGCAUACAUUCAGCCUGAUUCUAUUUAAAGUUCAAAGAUAGCCAACAUGACAUUAUAUGUUGCACAGGCACACACGGCAAAGCUCUGAAGAAAAGCAACUGAAUGAUUAACACAGUGAAGCAUGAGAGGGGGCUACAAAGGGCUUGUUAGGUAAUUUCAGCUGGCAAGUGGGCGCGUGGAUGUCAGUUUUAUUAGUGCUGCUCAACCUACAUGUAUACAUU
rnacentral:lncRNA from 10 species